GAUGAAGAACGUAGCAAAAUGCGAUAAGUAAUGUGAAUUGCAGAAUUCAGUGAAUCAUCGAAUCUUUGAACGCACAUUGCGCCCGCCAGUAUUCUGGCGGGCAUGCCUGUUGGAGCGUCAUUUCAACCCUCAAGCCCUCGGGUUUGGUGUUGGGGAUCGGCGAGCCUUUCUGGCAAGCCGGCCCCGAAAUCUAGUGGCGGUCUCGCUGCAGCCUCCAUUGCGUAGUAGUAAAACCCUCGCAACUGGAACGCGGCGCGGCCAAGCCGUUAAACCCCCAACUUCUGAAUGUUGACCUCGGAUCAGGUAGGAAUACCCGCUGAACUUAAGCAUAUCAAUAAGCGGAGGA
rnacentral:misc_RNA from 1 species